rnacentral:rRNA from 1 species
GCAGUAGCCGCGGUAAUACGUAGGUGGCAAGCGUUGUCCGGAAUUAUUGGGCGUAAAGGGCUCGCAGGCGGUUUCUUAAGUCUGAUGUGAAAGCCCCCGGCUCAACCGGGGAGGGUCAUUGGAAACUGGGAAACUUGAGUGCAGAAGAGGAGAGUGGAAUUCCACGUGUAGCGGUGAAAUGCGUAGAGAUGUGGAGGAACACCAGUGGCGAAGGCGACUCUCUGGUCUGUAACUGACGCUGAGGAGCGAAAGCGUGGGGAGCGAACAGGAUUAGAUACCCCGGUAGUCCCUGUCUCUUAUAC